AUGGGGAAAGAAGGAGGUGAAGAGAAAGCUUACAGAAUGACCUGGAACCUCAGUAUCUACCCUGUUCUGUGGUCUUUAAUUCAUAUAUUACAGGGGAACAAUUAAGGUCAGCAUAUAAAGAAUAUAAUUUUAUUUUUCCUGGGAUUUUUUGAUUUUCAAAAAGGGUCUUCUUUCAAAGAAAUCAAAAGGUACUAACAACAUCACUACCUAAGAACUCAACGACAACUUCUCCAUUGAAAAGGGGUCACAGCAAUUCUCUUCAUUUCCCACCACACACACACACACACACACACACCCUUAAGCCUCACAAUUGGCAUCCUUGCAGCUUCUCAUUGGAAGUGCUAACCACAGAUUGAAAAACACACAGAAACUUGACCAAACAAACAUCAAGAAGACAGAAAGUCGGAUUUGGGAGCUGCUUAUUGCCAGAAGGCCUUUUCUCCAAAGCAGACAUAACCUCCUGCUGGUGACAUUGCAUGACAGACCCGCCAUUUGCUACCACAAAGAGGAAAGUUGAGUGGGGAGGUCCAAAUCUGUUUUAAAUCAAGACUAUUUGUGAUGAUGAGAACCGGUUGUGGAAAAUAGGGGAAGCAUGAUUCUGUUCAACAUGCAGUCUGGUGCAGCUCCCAACAGAUGUGCAGAUGAGGACCCAGCACAUUCACACCUCCCUCCUAAGGUCAGCCACUGAGGUAGUUGAGAAUUUUUUUUAGAAGAAACAUUCUUUAAAACAACAACAAUAACACAGGACCCAGAGGAACCAAGAAUUGGAUCUCUUCCCAUUCCUCUCUCUUCACUUUGCCGCUCCACCACCCAAUGUUGACAAGAGGGAAACUUACUGCAUUACUUUUAAGUUGACUAACAGCAGUUUAUUAAAAAAAAAAAA